rnacentral:rRNA from 1 species
GUGAGGAAUUUUCCGCAAUGGGCGAAAGCCUGACGGAGCAAUGCCGCGUGAAGGAUGAAGGCCUAUGGGUUGUAAACUUCUUUUCUCAGAAAAGAAUUAUGACGGUAUCUGAGGAAUAAGCAUCGGCUAACUCUGUGCCAGCAGCCGCGGUAAGACAGAGGAUGCAAGCGUUAUCCGGAAUGAUUGGGCGUAAGGCGUCUGUGGGUUGUUUAAAAAGUAUUCUGUCAAAGAUUAGGGCUUAACCUUAGAUAGGCAGAAUAAACUUUUAAGCUAGAGUUUGGUAGAGGCAGAAGGAAUUCCCGGUGGAGCGGUGAAAUGCGUAGAUAUCGGGAGGAACAACAAAGGCGAAGGCACUCUGCUGGGCCAAUACUAACACUGAGAGACGAAAGCGAGGGGAGCAAAUGGGAUUAGAAACCCCUGUAGUCC